AUUGAACGCUGGCGGCAGGCUUAACACAUGCAAGUCGAGCGGGGAAAGGUAGCUUGCUACCUGACCUAGCGGCGGACGGGUGAGUAAUGCUUAGGAAUCUGCCUAUUAGUGGGGGACAACAUUCCGAAAGGAAUGCUAAUACCGCAUACGCCCUACGGGGGGAAGCAGGGGAUCUUCGGACCUUGCGCUAAUAGAUGAGCCUAAGUCAGAUUAGCUAGUUGGUGGGGUAAAGGCCUACCAAGGCGACGAUCUGUAGCGGGUCUGAGAGGAUGAUCCGCCACACUGGGACUGAGAUACGGCCCAGACUCCUACGGGAGGCAGCAGUGGGGAAUAUUGGACAAUGGGCGAAAGCCUGAUCCAGCCAUGCCGCGUGUGUGAAGAAGGCCUUUUGGUUGUAAAGCACUUUAAGCGAGGAGGAGGCUACCGAGAUUAAUACUCUUGGAUAGUGGACGUUACUCGCAGAAUAAGCACCGGCUAACUCUGUGCCAGCCGCCGCGGUAAGAC
rnacentral:rRNA from 1 species